GCUAGGCGUGGUAGCGCAUGCCUGUAAUCCUAGCUACUCGGGAGGCUGAGGCAGGAGAAUUGCUUGAACCUGGGAGGCUGAGGUUGUGGUGAGCUGAGAUUGCGCCACUGCACUCCAGCCUGGGCAAUAGAGCAAGACUCUGUCUCAA
rnacentral:SRP_RNA from 1 species